UACGUAGGGGGCAAGCGUUGUCCGGAUUUAUUGGGCGUAAAGAGCGUGUAGGCGGCUAGGUAGGUCCGUUGUGAAAACUCGAGGCUCAACCUCGAGCUGUCGAUGGAAACCAUCUAGCUAGAGUCCGGAAGAGGAGAGUGGAAUUCCUGGUGUAGCGGUGGAAUGCGCAGAUAUCAGGAAGAACACCAACGGCGAAGGCAGCUCGCUGGGACGGUACUGACGCUGAGACGCGAAAGCGUGGGGAGCGAACAGG
rnacentral:rRNA from 1 species